ensembl:misc_RNA Metazoa_SRP Metazoan signal recognition particle RNA
GCCAGGUGUGGUGGCGUGUGCCUGUAAUCCCAGCUACUCGGGAGGCUGAGGCAGGAGAAUCGCUUGAACCUGGGAGGUAGAGGUUGCAGUGAGCUGACAUUGCGCCACUGCACUCCAGCCUGGGUGACAGAGUGAGAUCCUGUCUCAG